UGCGCUGUACCAGAGAUAGCUGAUCUGCGAGCCAGUUGGAAAUGACUUUAAUUACUUAGGCGUGUGCGGGCCACCUGGUGUGUUGGGUAUAUACUCGACUGUUCGAGCCGGAUCGAGAAGAUUCGAGCUGGCUCGGGCGAGCGUGGCGCUGCAACACUCGGGCAGUUCGAAAUCGUAGACUACUGGCGUCAUCGAGUAGUUGACGGUUGGCGAUGUACACUACUACAGCGGAGAGAGUUGCAUGUUAACCCUUUGCACUAAAGUUUUCUCGUUGGAUAUAUUCGUCGUUUUCUAAUGAAACAUUAACGCGUAAAGCGCCAUAUCAGUCACCGUUGACGCUUCUGAAUUACUUGAAAACGUCGUAACGUGCAAGAUAACCGAUGUCGAAUGAAAAUGUUUAAUAAGGUAACUAAGCUGAUAAUAAUGUAAUGCAGUGGUUGUAACGCUAAAUAAUUAAUAAUUCCUGCUUUUCUUUGCUUAAAAAUAACUCUACAGAAAACCGGUCAAGAUUUUCGCGGCGUUUAACGUGUUAAUGGUACCUUUUAUAAGUAACAUAUAUAUAUAUAUAUACAUACCAUAUAGAUAGAAUUGUUCUAUUUCAAUAUUUCAUUCAUAAUUACAUUAUAUGAACUUUGACAUUGAAUAUGAAACUUUAUAAUUUUCUUGUAUCGAGAUAAAUGGCGACCGUGAGUCGCUUUUCUGGUGCGAAGGGUUAACCUUUUAGCCACUAUACGCCACUACAGUGGCUUUCGUGUAUACCAUAGGGUCACUUCUGACUUAAUCUAUGACGCUGACCGUCAACUGGUUGAUGACGUAACAGUAUGGUUACGAGUUGCCUAAAUGUUGCAGUGCCACAGGCGCCCGAAUUUUUCCAGGCUGGCUUUCACCGUUAAGAAUACUAUUAAUACUACUAAGAAAUGUACAAGGUUCCCGAGUAUUAGCCGCGCCCAUUAGAAAUUGCUUCCUGGCGUUUGGCUAGCGUUACAGAUAGAAUCAUCAGGGAUUUGAGGACUUAUUGAUACUGGUUAGCCAGAAACAGUUAAGCAUACCAUUAGCCGAUCAAUUAGGAACAGUAGAUUGGUGAUCACCCGUUCCGUAACUCCCAGUAAGAUAUGCUUAAAUAGGAAGCAACGUUUCGCUAGCAUUGUAGCUGGGAUCAUCAGGGAAUUUGAAGGUUAGCUAGAAUCAGUGCUUUCUAUUUGAGCAUACCGUUAGACGAUCAAUUAAAAAUAACAGAUUAGCGGUCAUCCAUUCGUAAUUCCCAUCAAGAUAUGCUUAAAUAGGAAGCAACGUUUCGCUAGCAUUGCAGCUGGGAUCAUCAGGUGUUUGAGAACUCAUUGAUAUCGGUUACCUAGAAUCAGUGCUUUCUAUUUAAGCAUACCGUCAGUCGAUUAAUUAAAAACAACAGAUUGGUGAUCAUCAAUAUUAUAUUAUAUUAACCCUUUGCACUCGGGAGGUGACUGACAGUCACCACUUGGUUUGAUACGGUUAAAUUAUAAAGUUUGAUAUUUAAUAUUGAACUUUGUAUAAUGCGUCACUAUGUGAAAUCUCAUAGUAAAAUACUUUUGUCCCUUAAUUUACCGAUUAAAUUAGUUACAUUAAUCGCAAAAAACAUUGUCUAUAUCUAAUCAAAGUGUUGAAUACUUCUAGCAAAAAACUUUCAAGUGCAAAGGGUUAUUGAUACUAGAACAACUAAACCCGUCAAAAUAACGAAUUUCAAACUUCCUAUUUUAAAUUAGAAAAACCGUUAAGAUAUUUCUGUCGACGUUCACGUUGACUCUUAUCAAAGUGAUUAGGUGAAGAAGUAACUUUCAACUUGUGCAGUCCAUACUAUACUAUACCUUGUAUAUCGAAGAAACGUCGUCGUUGGUGUCAAUCGAAUGGCUCUCGAUAAUGGCCGUGGAGUUGAUGAUGCAGGGGCAAGCGUCAAUCGACACGAGCUUGUUAUCCAACUGAAUCUUGCCAUUGAGAACGGCAAUUUGAGCGCCAAGACCGAUCCACAGGACAAUUAUCAGACUAGUGAUGGCUCCUGAGAUUGCCCCUUUAGCGUUCGCCCAUGGCACGAACAUACCCAGAGAGAAUAAUCCCAAGGUACCUCAAGAACGCUCCCAAGACGUUCUACAACGAAAACCAAAACGAAGCUAAGGGCACCGAAGCUAACGCUUAUCCAUCUGGCGUAGAUCGCACCUUUGCUAGCUGGCAGAUUUAUCUUGAACACUCCCUGGAUUAUAUCUUCGCAGGUAAUCGCUGCGAGAGAGUUCAACGCGCUAGCUACAGUCCUGUAAAAUAUGGUAGUAAUAUUUUAAUCCAAACUCACCCCAAAGAAGCAGCGAAGAUUCCAGCGACGAAGAAGCCAGGUACACCCUUCAGGCCACCCAUGAAAUUCAUCACGUACAAAGGCAGCAGUUGGUCCUGGCCAGUUAUUUGGCUAGCCAACAGGGGAUCACAGUCUCUGUAUGUGCUGUAGAGCACCAUACCAGUCAAAAAGUUCACGGUGUAGAUGGUGAUCAUGCCGAAGGCUGACACCCAUAACGCCCUGAAAGAGAAAAAAAAAAAAUUUAUAAUUAGAGUACCUACGUUCUGGCUUGGCCAAUGGUCUCCACGCUGAGGUAUUUUUGGACGGAAGCUUGAUUGCUGCAAAACAUGGUUGUCCAAUAAAUAGUCCCACCAAUGACGACAGUCCAGAAACUGUGUCUGACAGUGGGCUUGGGAUCCAUGUUGAAGAACUCCAUUCGGCCUGACGCCUGGCUCACGUCCCAAACCUUGGCAAAACCACCCUCCCAGGACAAUCCGUAGCCAGCGAUCAGGAACAAAGAGCCUAGCAACACUGCUGCUUGAAAAGUGUCCGUCAUUAUGACGGCCUUCAUCCCACCCUAAAAGAGAAUCCUUCGAAGUUACUGUUUAACACUUUCAUGCAAAUUUAAUAUUCAAUAUCAACCCUUUGCCCUACGAUUCAUUUUUCAACUGUGAUCGACACAUCUACUCUACAAUUGAUGUUUGAGUCCUAUGCGCCACUUUCGCGCUAUUCAAAUUUCAUGUCGGAAAAAACCCAGCGCGUUUAAACGAUACUGACAACUGACGGCGUACUCACAAUGUGACGAAACGCGCUCAACUUUUCAGACGCAUGUAUGUACGUCGCAUCGCUACUGUUUUUGUAUAUAAGUAAUCCAAGUAAUA